GGUAAUGGCCGGGAUAGNUCAGGUGGU
rnacentral:tRNA from 1 species